AUGACGGACUUUCUCACUUUUCCCGCACUGCUCUGGAGCGUCCUGUUGCUAGUGCUCAGCGGCAUCAUCACACCCGCAUGCACAGAUGAUUGUCACCCAGGGCCGGGGGGUGUACCUGGUCUACCAGGGCUUGAUGGCUGUAACGGGACCAGAGGGGACACUGGUUUCCCUUGAAUCCAUGGGCUGGACGGGCCUGAUGGGGGAGCGGUGAGUACAGUACAGUACAGAACUGUUCUGUAUGUGGCUGGUGUAGGGGACACAGAGAGAGGCUAUAUCACUCUGCAUUUCUUGAGAACCCAGAACAUGAAGGAUCAGGGUAGCUAGAUGGCUAGAUAAUCUGAGCGACGUGGCAUAUCGAAGUAGCCUGGUUCCAGAUCAGUUUGUGUUGACUUGCCAAUUCCUAUGUUUUGCCAAUGUCCCAACAUGAAUUUGCUAUGCACCACAAACAGAUCUGGGACCAGACUAAUAUUGAAGAGUCAACACAUUUACAGAAAAUAAUCCUGCAGCAACAGGAAAUGUGAAUUAUUGUGUGGAUUAUAAUGAAUAGUAUC
rnacentral:lncRNA from 8 species